GGAAUUGUUCGCAAUGGGCGAAAGCCUGACGACGCAACGCCGCGUGGAGGACGAAGAUCUUCGGGUCGUAAACUCCUUUCGAUCGGGAAGAAUGGCUUCCGGGUUAACAGCCCGGAGGAAUGACGGUACCGACAGGAGAAGCCCCGGCUAACUCUGUGCCAGCAGCCGCGGUAAUACAGAGGUGGCAAGCGUUGUUCGGAAUUACUGGGCGUAAAGGGCGCGUAGGCGGCCUUCUAAGUCAGACGUGAAAUCCCCAGGCUUAACUUGGGAACUGCGUCUGAUACUGGAAGGCUUGAGUGCGGGAGAGGGAUGUGGAAUUCCAGGUGUAGCGGUGAAAUGCGUAGAUAUCUGGAGGAACACCGGUGGCGAAGGCGGCAUCCUGGACCGACACUGACGCUGAGGCGCGAAAGCCAGGGGAGCAAAC
rnacentral:rRNA from 1 species